rnacentral:rRNA from 1 species
ACUCCUACGGGAGGCAGCAGUGGGGAAUAUUGCACAAUGGGCGCAAGCCUGAUGCAGCCAUGCCGCGUGUAUGAAGAAGGCCUUCGGGUUGUAAAGCACUUUCAGUAGGGAGGAAGGUAGUGUAGUUAACACCUGCAUUAUUUGACGUUACCUACAGAAGAAGCACCGGCUAACUCCGUGCCAGCAGCCGCGGUAAUACGGAGGGUGCGAGCGUUAAUCGGAAUUACUGGGCGUAAAGCGCAUGCAGGCGGCCUGUUAAGUCAGAUGUGAAAGCCCGGGGCUUAACCUCGGAAUUGCAUUUGAAACUGGCAGGCUAGAGUCUUGUAGAGGGGGGUAGAAUUUCAGGUGUAGCGGUGAAAUGCGUAGAGAUCUGAAGGAAUACCAGUGGCGAAGGCGGCCCCCUGGACAAAGACUGACGCUCAGAUGCGAAAGCGUGGGGAGCAAACAGGAUUAGAUACCCUGGUAGGAUAGCG